CUGAAGCCCCCUGUUUAACUGACUCAGACACCCAGGUGCCCCUAUAAACGUAACCUUAUAUGGAAAAAAGGGUCUUUGCAGGGGGAGGUUCUCCCGGAUUAUCUGAUGAGGCUCUUCAAACAAUACCUAGUGUUCUUCUAAGAAUGGCAGAUGGAGAAGUGACACAGAGGGUGAGGACAGGUGGAGACAGCAGUGAUUUGGCCACAAGCCAAGGAAUGCUGGUAGCCACCAGAAGCUGAAAACAGGAAGAAUGGAUUCCUUCCUAGAGCCUUCAGGAAGGCUCUAGAGCCUUGACUUCGGCCCAACGAAACUGAUUUUGGAUGUCUGUCUUCCACAGUCAUGAGAGAGAUUAAAUAUUUGUGGGGUGUUUGUUGAUUUGUCCUUUCUUUUGGAAAUAACAGACACGUUUAACUGUGCCUGGUUAGAGAUUUGUUUCCUUUUGGGAAUUUUAAAAGGAAAGGAGGCAAAUUUCUCUUCUACAAAAAGUAAACUGACUUGCCUUUCUGCUGUAGGUGGCUCCAGAAGUUAGUUUUGGGGGUAUUGCUCUGUAAUUGGUCAGGGUUGCCAUAGGAAGAGUUUAAAGACAGAACAAGUCUGACUUGGCCCCUCAGCCCCCAGAGGUCAGGAAGCUGAGGGAGCAGCGUGCGCUGCCGGGUCGCCCCUGUGGCAACACCCUGUGACCCUCAGAGCAAUGCGAGCGGUCCGCCGGGGAGAGCGCCCGAGCCGGCCUCGCUCGCUCCUCCCCCGGACGUCGAGGGUACAAAGUGGGAGCAGGAGAGGAAGCGACGCUGGCGGCGGGAGGCUGUGUGUCCCGAGGCGCGAGUGUGUGGGGGGCGAGCUCAGAAGCCGAGAGCGGCUGACGAGACGCUGCCAGCCGACUGUCAGGGCGGCGGACUCGACGCCCCGGAACGGCUUCCGGCGGAAAGGACUCUCCGUUAGGCCGGGAUCCGAUCCUACCGGAAGAGUUUUACCCGUUCUUGCUUGCUGGCUGUGGUGCUGAGGAAAAACUAUGAAUGGAUGGAGUGUGCUUCUUUUUUUCUAGAAGAUUCCAUGAAGCUUCCCAGCAACUCUUUCAUUUCCUCCUCGUUACUGUCUGGAACAUCCAGUUUUCUAUUAAAUACUUGGACUUUAUCCCCUGAGAUGUAUCUACUUAUCAAGACAAGUUCUGCAGGAGAAAUAUCUAAAUCAACCUCCAAUAUUAGUGGGACCAGAAAGUCUGAUGGAACGGAGGGAAAGUUGUAAACCUGAAGGCUCUACUGACUGGGCUGUGCUCCUCCACAGUUUCCUACCACCCAGAGCCGAGUACACCUUAACACAAGAAUUGAAACUGAACCAACAGUGGGUCAGGAAGUCCAGAUUUAGUGUACAUUCAUAAAUAUUUGUCACUGUAGAAAAAUAAAAAUAUGACCGAUUCUAAGUUAACAGGCGAGCACAGUAUUCUGAAAUACACUUUAUCAUCUAACAGAUCACGUGGUGAGAUUCCAAUCAUGUAUCAGCACGUGUUCUCAAACUGCAGUCUUCUUUACUGGCAAUUAUGCUUGGACAUUUAUUGACAGAUAACAGCUGCUCUAGUACCUCACUUAUUUUACUUCAUGUGUUGACAUUUCCCAUUUCCUCAUAUUUUCAGAAAGCCUAGAGUACUUGAAGAAAACAGACACUUUGAUAUUACUUCUUAAAUCUUUUAUGUUUCAUUCAACAUGUGAAAAUAUCAUAAAGUUGCUAAUUCCUG